AUUGAACGCUGGCGGAAUGCUUUACACAUGCAAGUCGAACGGUAGAGGGGGCAACCCCUUGAGAGUGGCGAACGGGUGAGUAAUAUAUCGGAACGUGCCCGGUCGUGGGGAUAACGUAGCGAAAGUUACGCUAAUACCGCAUACGAUCUACGGAUGAAAGCGGGGGACUCGCAAGAGCCUCGCGCGAUUGGAGCGGCCGAUAUCAGAUUAGGUAGUUGGUGGGGUAAAGGCUCACCAAGCCAACGAUCUGUAGCUGGUCUGAGAGGACGACCAGCCACACUGGAACUGAGACACGGUCCAGACUCCUACGGGAGGCAGCAGUGGGGAAUUUUGGACAAUGGACGCAAGUCUGAUCCAGCAAUGCCGCGUGCAGGAUGAAGGCCUUCGG
rnacentral:rRNA from 1 species